rnacentral:lncRNA from 1 species
CUGGUUACCAAUGGUGAUUUGUGUCAUAAAAGAAUCAGUCACACGGCUGAGACUGAAGGUAUAGAAGGGACCACCUAUUCUAGGUAGGGCAGCCACAAAGGGCCAGACAUGUAAGCUGAGGCUGUUGGUAGAGCUCAGGGAAGAGCAACCCAAGGUGAAGACACAAGGUGUGUACAAUUCUGGGCAUACCUCAACAACGGAAAGACUAGUGAAGCUGGCCCAGGAAUGGGGAACCGAACUGGCAGAUACAAGAUCAGGUGAGGUAGCAAAGGCCAUUCCUCCUCCAUUGUGCUGUGUUCAAGAAAACUGCAGAGUUAAGAAAGAACAAGGAUCAUCAAUCAGGACUUCUGGGACUUUCAUUUUUAACCAGAGUUGAAAACACAGGGGCUUGGAGACCUUUCUGGUAACCCUUUAAACUGAAGUCAAAGGGUUCAAAAAGAAAAGGAAAGUCUAUGAAAUAUAUACCGAAGGCAGAAACCACAGUGAGAGAGGGAAGUAAUAUGUGAUUUGGGAUAGAUGCCUUUGACAUAUUCAUUGAUCUCAGUGACUUGCAGAGUGCUGAUAGCACUCUGGCCUCAGGGUGAGGCGCCUUGCCAGCUUCCAGAUCAAAGGAGUGCCUAGGUGCUGAAUCCCUGGCGUACUCCCAAGCAAAAGUGCCUGGAGCCACAUUUGCUAAUUACAGUGAUGUCUUCUGGCUUUCAAGUUUUAAAACCUGUAUGCCCUUGAUCCUACUCCUUCCUCCACUAUUCACCUCCUUGGAAAUCUGAGAGACAUUCAUGUCCCAGGAGUGACCAGCUUGAAGAGAGCUGAAACCCAGCCCCAUUGCACAGCUGGCUCCCAAGGAUCUAUCUUGGCUCUCGACUUCCUAAAUACAGAGUUUAUUUCACCUCCUGGCUCCCUUGUGGAUGUAGGGGCCAUGGGACUAGUUCUGGACGAGGCAUCGUAAAGGAAAAUGAUAUGUGUCAACUUAGGGCUGAGCAUUUAAUUGAUUGCCCAAGACCUCCAAGUCUUGCUGUGUUCUUUGGCAUACUACACAGUGAUGUUUGCAGUGGGAGCUACUCUGUUAGCCUGGGUGACUAAAUGAUAAUGAUAUGCAAAGCCUCCUUGUUGAUCUAUGAUGAGCACCCAGCUAACUUCUCUACCCUGGAGGAUCAGGUGAAAGAAAAACACCAGAUGGGAAGAAAAGUGGAGAGAAUGAUUGAGCCUGGAACCUCAGCAUGGCAUUAUCCACAUGGGCUGUUUUAUCAGUAUGCCUUUUUGUAACCCCAGAUAAGGGAAAACUGUAGCCAGAAAAAGAUGAAAACAGGGAAAUUCAACCAUUGCAGGCAUUUAUUCUUAUCUUUUGUUUUUAUAAAGAAUGACAAAUAAUCUGAGG